UGGGGAAUCUUGCACAAUGGGGGCAACCCUGAUGCAGCGACGCCGCGUGAGCGAUGAAGCCCUUCGGGGCGUAAAGCUCUUUCGACCGGAACGAUAAUGACGGUACCGGGAGAAGAAGCUGCGGCUAACUACGUGCCAGCAGCCGCGGUAAUACGUAGGCAGCAAGCGUUGUUCGGAGUUACUGGGCGUAAAGAGUGCGUAGGCGGUUUUCUAAGUUUGGUGUGAAAUCUCCCGGCUUAACUGGGAGGGUGCGCCGAAGACUGGGAAGCUGGAGUGUGGGAAAGNCAGGCGGAAUUCCUGGUGUAGCGGCGAAAUGCGUAGAUAUCAGGAGGAACACCGGCGGUGUAGACGGCUUGCUAGACCAUAACUGACGCUGAGGCACGAAAGCGUGGGUAGCAAACA
rnacentral:rRNA from 1 species